rnacentral:lncRNA from 1 species
AUUCAUAUGUAUCGAGAUCUAUAUCAGGAGUGGAUCCACAAAAUUUACAGGAGUUACAUCAGUGUAAAUGAG